rnacentral:lncRNA from 1 species
UCUCGAGGUCUCCCUUAUAGAACUGACCACUGUUCCCCCACUCCUGGGUACAAAGCUGGACUGCUGUCUCUGCCCUGCCAUGGAUUAAACAUGGGCAAACCACAAGACACAAGAGGGCAGCAUAAGGCUAUGACUGGAUUACCAUCUAAAUUGGGUCACUGUGACCUCAGAAGCCGGAACGAGGAACUUAAUAAUUCUCACUUGGAGACCUGAGACUGGAUAAAGAAAAGUCUAUUUACCUCUGCCGGAGAAGAGCCAGGUAGUCAGAGGAACGUUCCGGGCAAACUAGAUUUCAAGGCAUGCGGUAGAAGAAGAAGAGGUCUUGAGAACAAAGAAUUACACUAGAUGAUGGCUUCUUCAGAUGAAUACCAGGUGAAGUGAACAUGAAUAUAAAACACACUGCUGCACACAGCUCCACAGUCACCAUAGCAGGAGGGGCAAGACACUAACCC